UCCGGAGGGUGCGAGCGUUGUCCGGAAUCACUGGGCGUAAAGGGCGCGUAGGCGGCUCGGUAAGUAGGAGGUGAAAUCCUGCGGCUUAACCGCAGGGCUGCCUUCUAAACUGCCGGGCUUGAGCACAGUAGAGGCAGGUGGAAUUCCCGGUGUAGCGGUGGAAUGCGUAGAGAUCGGGAAGAACAUCGGUGGCGAAGGCGGCCUGCUGGGCUGUUGCUGACGCUGAGGAGCGAAAGCGUGGGGAGCGAACAGG
rnacentral:rRNA from 1 species